rnacentral:misc_RNA from 1 species
ACCUCAUCUCUUAUAACAGUUCCUGUAAUUCGACGAAGAUGUAGUGAGAAAAGAAGACAGAUGGGGAUGCAGAGGAAUAAAAAGGUUAAAUUUGGAAUGUUAUAUACAAUAGUAGUAAAGGAGCAAAGUACAUGGAAAAAAAUGAACAAAAAUGUAGAGUGCAAAAGAUGUACAUCAUUUGCACUAACCUCCAGUUAAAAUAG